AACGUAGGGGGCCAGCGUUAAUAGGAAUUACUGGGCGUAAAGGGCGCGUAGGUGUUUUCUUAAGUCAGAGGUGAAAGGCUACGGUUCAACCGUAGUAAGCCUUUGAAACUGAGAGACUUGAGUGCGGGAGAGGAGAGUAGAAUUCCUAGUGUAGCGGUGAAAUGCGUAGAUAUUAGGAGGAAUACCAGUUGCGAAGGCGGCUCUCUGGACUGUAACUGACCCUGAGGCACGAAAGCGUGGGGAGCAAACAGG
rnacentral:rRNA from 1 species